CGAACAUUAUGAAUGUAAAAUGCACAUUUCUCGCUAAAAAUGUUUCCAUUAACGCAUUUAAUGGCGUAACUAUGUUACUAUUUCCACCCAGAAUAAAGAAAGAUGUCGGCCGUAUGCUUCAGUGCAAGCUCACUACUCUCUGCCAGUAACGUCAGGUCAAGCUCCACGCUGAUUGAGAAGGGUCCAGCUGCAGGCUUGGGUGUUUCCGUCAUGACACAAAAACGCCCAUCGGGCGUUCCCGUCAUGACACAAAAACGCCCAUCAGGCGUUCCUGUAGCCUUUCAUCGAUCAAUCAAGAAGAGUACCCUGGCACAUGCUUUGUCCAAUGGACCAUGGAAGGGACUUUACUUGGCUGACGAGGACGCACCUCACCAGUAUCAGAGCAACAGCUGUGGGGUGUUCAUGCUGAU
ensembl:lncRNA